AUUGAACGCUGGCGGCAUGCUUUACACAUGCAAGUCGGACGAGUGGCGAACGGGUGAGUAACGCAUCGGAACGUACCGAGUAAUGGGGGAUAACUGUCUGAAAGGACAGCUAAUACCGCAUACUAUUCACUCUGCCGAUGUCUGAUUAGCUGGUUGGCGGGGUAAAGGCCCACCAAGGCGACGAUCCGUAGCGGGUCUGAGAGGAUGAUCAGCAAAACUGGGACUGAGACAAGGGCCAUACUCCUACGGGAGGCAGCAGUGGGGAAGUUUGGACAAUGGGCGCAAGCCUGAGCAAGCCAUGCCGCGGGUCUGAAGAAGGCCUUCGGGUUGUAAAGGACUUUUGUCAGGGAAGCGGUACCAGAAGAAUAAGCACCGGCUAACUACGUGCCAGCAGCCGCGGUAAGAC
rnacentral:rRNA from 1 species